rnacentral:lncRNA from 1 species
GAAAAAUGAAAUAGACAUGCAAACCCAUUACUAAAAAGUCAAAGGAAGAUGUUUGGUUGUGAAGAAAAUGCAGGACUAUCAGUCACAUUUAAGGUGAAUUCUUUCUUUUCCACUGUUUUCAAUGUUAAAAAAGAAAAAGAAAAACGGCAAGAAACGCAAGAGAAGAGGAGAAAUCGCACCUAUCUAUACGAUUCCUGAGCUUCAACAAGAACUUCUCAUUGUCCUCUUCGGCAAUUUUCACCAACCGCUCCACUAAGUUCUUCUUUUCCUGAAACCCAAGGUUGUGUAUAUCAACUUCACUGGCCUCACCCGCCGAACCCAUCAGCAAGCCUUUCCUCAUCCGAUUGUAGGUGGGAAGUUUCUCGAGUGCGGCCCAUUUCAAAGCUUCCUCAUCAUCUUCAUCCCUUGAAGAACGGGAGGAAACCUCCUCACCAGAGUUCCUCCAUAUGGAAGAACUGUCCUUCCUUAAACUACCACCGGCUCUAUAAAUUUCACCCGUUGCCAUUGCAACACGAAACGAGGAACCCUCCCUGCAAAACUAACCAAACCCACUAAAACCCAGAAACCUUUCCUACAAAUUAGGAGGAAAAAAACCCAAAUUUCGAGCUCUGGAGCUGAAAAAGCUCAAAAUCAGAGAUGGGUCGCCUCCACCCUUUCCUCUAUGCAUGCAAUGCCGUCUCUUUGCAUUGCUAAAACUUUGUUCCAUGUUGGAAAAAUGUGAAGAAUGGAAGGUUUAUAUAUUGAUUGGAAGGACAGAAAAUGAGGCUGCUCAGAAGUUUGAAAACCGCUUAUUUUCCACUGACUUCAUCUAGACAAGUUGGCGGGGAAAAUCGAAUCUAGAAGAGGCUAUGAAAUUACGAAUGUCUCCAUUUUUUACUCUUCAAAUUCUUAUUUUACAUUUUCACAGUUCAUAAUUUUCAGCCUUCGAGUACAUUGUUUGUCAAGUAACUUUAAAGAAAUGUAAAUUGUUAAAUGUUGUCUACCUGCCGCGGCCUGUUUAGUUCCAGUUUUCAAAAAUGGUUUUUUGUUAUUGAAAAUAAAAAACACAAAAAAACUUAUUUAGGAAAGGGGAUGUGUUUUUGUUUUUGUUUUUUUUUUUGUGUUUUCGGUAUUCUCAAAAACCACUUUUUUUUAGAAUAAUAAAAAAAUAUAUUUUCAUUAUUUUUUCAAUAAAAUAAAUUAUUUUUCGUGUUUUUUUUUUUUCUUCUUUUUGUGUUUUCCUAGGUGCUUUUUAUGUUUCCACGAAGGUGAGUUCCACCUUCACAUCCACUCACAAACCUUUUCUUCUUCCUUAAAUUAUUAAAAUUAAUAUACUUAUACAUUAACUUUCAAACAUGUUUUUUGUUUUACUUAUUCUAAAAAACUUUUUUAUUAAUUCAAUAAAACAUGUUUUUUUUUUUUUGAGAACAAAAAUUAUUUUCCUAAACAAUUUUCAAAAAUAGCAACCAAACAGACCUUAACUUUUCGGUUUAGCUCAAAUCCCCCUAAAUUGCAAAUGUAAUUUUUUGUGGUUAAAAAGAUGAGGGAAAAGUAGGAUUGAUUUACUAAUAUGAAAAUACACGGAAAAACAAACCUCUUCGUUUAUUUAAAAAUAAUUUCAAAUACAUACAUUUUUUAAUGAGUCAUCUAAUUAUUCCCUAAAUUAUUUAUUGUCAUGUCAUUAAUAUUAAUUGAUAAAUGGAUUCUUUCACGUCAAUGUUUAUCUUCCUUUUAAAUUUAUUAUUAUUAUUAUUAGUAUUAUUAUUUUAUUUGGGAUUUUUUUUUCACUGCUUUUAUCAUUCAUACUCUUCAAACUAUCUCACUUUUAUGCAAGGAUUGAAAUAUCGGUAAACACGGAUAUAUCGGUACUUGGAUUUUACGGAUAUAUCGGAAAUAUCGGAGAAAUAUCGGUGGAUAUUUUUCAUCAAAUAUCGGUGAGACAAAAAUUAUCCAAAAUUGAUGGGAAUGUUUAAAAAAAGCCAAAGAAUGAUAAAAUAAGCAAGAAUAUGCAUGUUAAAGUUAUUUUAUAAGUGUAAUUGACAUAAAUAUGGUCAAAGAAAAAAAUAUCGGUAAAUAGUUUACGAUACUUGGAUUUGAAGAAUAAAAAAUAUGAAAUUUGGAAUUGUACACUUAGAAAGUUAGAAUUGAGUUAAGAAAUAUUUGAUUUCAUUAAAUGAAAACAAUUUACACAUAAACAUAAUACAUAUGACAUUGCAAUGGUCCUUAAUACCAAAAUGAAGAUCGAUGUGGUUCCAUCAUAUUGUUAUUGUUAGAUGAAGGGAGCCCAUCUUGUUGAAGACAAUAUUCAUACCAGGACAUGGAGUUUCGAUAGUAUUGAUUGUAUGUACGAACAUGCCAUGCAUAAAUUUCUUGAGUCCUACCAACAACUUGUCCAUGGAUAGGAAAUCCAGGGUNNNNNNNNNNNNNNNNNNNNNNNNNNNNNNNNNNNNNNNNNNNNNNNNNNNNNNNNNNNNNNNNNNNNNNNNNNNNNNNNNNNNNNNNNNNNNNNNNNNNUGAGGCUGCUCAGAAGUUUGAAAACCGCUUAUUUUCCACUGACUUCAUCUAGACAAGUUGGCGGGGAAAAUCGAAUCUAGAAGAGGCUAUGAAAUUACGAAUGUCUCCAUUUUUUACUCUUCAAAUUCUUAUUUUACAUUUUCACAGUUCAUAAUUUUCAGCCUUCGAGUACAUUGUUUGUCAAGUAACUUUAAAGAAAUGUAAAUUGUUAAAUGUUGUCUACCUGCCGCGGCCUGUUUAGUUCCAGUUUUCAAAAAUGGUUUUUUGUUAUUGAAAAUAAAAAACACAAAAAAACUUAUUUAGGAAAGGGGAUGUGUUUUUGUUUUUGUUUUUUUUUUUUGUGUUUUCGGUAUUCUCAAAAACCACUUUUUUUUAGAAUAAUAAAAAAAUAUAUUUUCAUUAUUUUUUCAAUAAAAUAAAUUAUUUUUCGUGUUUUUUUUUUUCUUCUUUUUGUGUUUUCCUAGGUGCUUUUUAUGUUUCCACGAAGGUGAGUUCCACCUUCACAUCCACCCACAAACCUUUUCUUCUUCCUUAAAUUAUUAAAAUUAAUAUACUUAUACAUUAACUUUCAAACAUGUUUUUUGUUUUACUUAUUCUAAAAAAACUUUUUUAUUAAUUCAAUAAAACAUGUUUUUUUUUUUUUGAGAACAAAAAUUAUUUUCCUAAACAAUUUUCAAAAAUAGCAACCAAACAGACCUUAACUUUUCGGUUUAGCUCAAAUCCCCCUAAAUUGCAAAUGUAAUUUUUUGUGGUUAAAAAGAUGAGGGAAAAGUAGGAUUGAUUUACUAAUAUGAAAAUACACGGAAAAACAAACCUCUUCGUUUAUUUAAAAAUAAUUUCAAAUACAUACAUUUUUUAAUGAGUCAUCUAAUUAUUCCCUAAAUUAUUUAUUGUCAUGUCAUUAAUAUUAAUUGAUAAAUAGAUUCUUUCACGUCAAUGUUUAUCUUCCUUUUAAAUUUAUUAUUAUUAUUAUUAGUAUUAUUAUUUUAUUUGGGAUUUUUUUUUCACUGCUUUUAUCAUUCAUACUCUUCAAACUAUCUCACUUUUAUGAGAUGUUUAUGAAAAAAAAAAUGUCUUAACUUUUACUAAGGUGUUUGUUUUUGGGAAAGAAAAAAAUCUCAAAUAAUAAUAAUUGUGGGAUGCUCACAACCGUCUAGCAUGAUCCUUAUGUGUCGUCAAGUGUGAUGCCUAUUUUAUGCAAUCGUCAUGUAUCUGUCUACCUCAAAAUGCAAACAGACAAAUCAUCGAGGCACUAUACAUUCCCACCAGUCAAGUAUUAAAUACAACAUAUAUUAAGUGCAUUAAUUGACAUAACCAUUACUAAGCAUAAAACAUCAUACUUCCAAGACUCAAAAACUAGUAAUCAUUAACAUUAAAGAUGGUAAAAUUGCAAUCAAAUGUAUAAUAAAAGCAUUGAGAAGACAUUACCUUUGAGCCUAAAUAAAUAGUCAUUAUUCAUAAAAAANNNNNNNNNNNNNNNNNNNNNNNNNNNNNNNNNNNNNNNNNNNNNNNNNNNNNNNNNNNNNNNNNNNNNNNNNNNNNNNNNNNNNNNNNNNNNNNNNNNNGAAUUAUGCAUAUAUGAAAUAGAUAAACAUUACAAUAAAAUUUUGAUAAGAAUUAAAUUAAAUUAAAAUAAAUUAAAUUUGCAUAUUCAUGAAAUUGAUAAGAAUCAUUACUAAUAAAAAUUAAAAUUGAAUUAUGCAUAUAUGAAAUAGAUAAACAUUACAAUUACAUUUCCAUAUGAAUUAGAAAAUAUCAAUUAAACUAUAUAUAACAAAUAAAAUUUAAUUAUGCAUAAUAAAAUAAAUUUUAUAAAAGGUAAGACAUACCUUAAUUAGCCUUUGACUUGGAGUUAAUCCCCUUCACCACCAAAUUUUCAAAAUAAAAAAUUUUUGCUAGAUCAUAUAAGAAUUUUGAUGUAUGAAAUGAAAUGGAAUGUGGGUAUUUAUAGGAAUUUUUUUGGUCAAACUAGCCGUUGGAUGGUCAAACUAGCCGUUAGAAAUUAAUUUUAACCGUUGGAUCAAAAUUUGGUUCAAAUUUCACCAUUAGAUCUUCAUAUAACCGUUGGAAACACUCCAUAGCCCUUGGAUAAAGUCAAGAUUGAUUUUCCACCAUUGGAUCACAAAUCUGACCGUUGGAGGCCUUUACAUACACGGGUGAAAUCUGGGCCAUCAGAUCCUCAAAAAUUCAAAAUUGGCCGUCAGAUCAAAAGCAGGGAAUCUUCAAAAAAAUCGCCGAUUUUUUCAAAAAAUCGCCGAUUUAUCGCGAUUUUAUCGGCAAAAAAUCGCCGAUUUUUUCAAAAAAUCGGCGAUAAAUCGCCGAUUUUACCGAUUAAUCGCCGAUUUUUUGCUGUCCUCUGCCGUCUUCGCCGCGCGUGGCUCCACUCGCCGAUGUUUCGCCGAUUUUUCGGUCCUCCACCGAUAUUUCGCCGAUAUAUCGGCGAUUUUGCCGAUUUUUGGCCGAUUUUUCCGUCAAUCGAUAAUCGGUGCCGAUUAUCGUUUCGAUGCCGCCCGAUAACCGAUAUUUCUCCGAAAUAUCGGCGACAUUUUCCGAUUUUUCAAUCCAUGCUUUUAUGAGAUGUUUAUGAAAAAAAAAAUGUCUUAACUUUUACUAAGGUGUUUGUUUUUGGGAAAGAAAAAAAUCUCAAAUAAUAAUAAUUGUGGGAUGCUCACAACCGUCUAGCAUGAUCCUUAUGUGUCGUCAAGUGUGAUGCCUAUUUUAUGCAAUCGUCAUGUAUCUGUCUACCUCAAAAUGCAAACAGACAAAUCAUCGAGGCACUAUACAUUCCCACCAGUCAAGUAUUAAAUACAACAUAUAUUAAGUGCAUUAAUUGACAUAACCAUUACUAAGCAUAAAACAUCAUACUUCCAAGACUCAAAAACUAGUAAUCAUUAACAUUAAAGAUGGUAAAAUUGCAAUCAAAUGUAUAAUAAAAGCAUUGAGAAGACAUUACCUUUGAGCCUAAAUAAAUAGUCAUUAUUCAUAAAAAAGAAGGUAUGUUGCCACUUUUCCAAAAAAUCUCUUGCUCAAGUUUUUUACAUCUGACUUAAGCUUUGAAAGGAUGUAUCCGAAAAACUCAUCCAAACAUUCUUUUGUGCAAGUGCAAUCGGUCGUCUACAUCACGUGGAGGCUAGCCGGAUACUUCAUUAUUGGUCAUGCACCAACAAUAACGAUAAUAAAUCUGAAAAAAAAAAAACAUUUAUGUGGACAAGUCUAGUUGUCAAUUAAGGUUGAUGACAUGACAAGUAACAAUGACAUUUUAAGGGAUAAUUAAAUGACUAAUUAAAAUUGCAUGUAUUUUAAUUUUUUUUAAAUAAAUAAAGAUAAUAUUGAUUUAAAAAUUUAGGUUUCUUUUUUUCCAUAUAUUUUCAUAUUAGUAAGUCAAAACUCACUUUUCCCUUAAAAUUAAAUUCAAAUUCUUAUUAUUCAAGGCAUUACAUUAGUUUGGAUUUAUCAAAUAUUAAAUAACAUAUAAAUUAAUAUUAAUCAUAAAUUCUCAUAAUAUGAAUCAUUGUAAAAGAGUAAAUUUAUGAACAUACAAAUUAAUAUAAUUGUAGGAAAAAGUGAGUAUUGACUCACUAAUAUGAAAAUAUAUAGAAAAAAUAACCUCAAAUUUUUUAAAUCCAUAUUAUCUUCAUCUAUUAAAAAAUAAUUUGAAAUACAUGCACUUUUUAAUGAGUCAUAUAAUUAUUCCCUAAAAUUUCCAUAAAAAAAAAUGUUGGUUACCAAUAAUCACAUCAAGAAUUUUACAUAAAAAAAUAAAAAAAUAAAAACAAAAAUAUAUUACUUUUUUAUAUGUAUCUCUAUCUCCUGAAUUGAAGAUGAAAUAAAAAAACAGAAGAAUGUCCUAAACAAUCAAGGUCCUUGAAAUUAACCUCAACGUACCCUAAUGAAAAAAAUCCUACAAAGACCUUGGAAAAAACCAUAAACCUUAUUCCCUGCAAACUCAAACUCACCUAUAGUCCGCUAAGGUUUUACCUACUUUUAAUUUCCACACUCUUCAAACUACCUCACUUUUGCUACGAGAUAUUUGUUUAUAGAAAAAAAAAAUUCAACUUUUCCUAAAGGGUCUUUGCUUUUAGAACAAAAAAUCUCAAAUAAUAAUAAUAAUAAAUAUCUAAAAGGAACAUAAAUAAUUACGUGGAGAAGUCUAGUUGUCAAUUAAUGUUGAUGACGUGACAAGUAAAAAUCAAAAUUUAAAAAAUAAUUAGAUGACUCAUUAAAAAUUGCAUGUUUUUCAAAUUAUUUAAAAAUAAAUGAAUAUGAUAUCAAUAUACAAAAUUUAGAGUUCUUUUUUUCCAUAUAUUUUCGUAUUAGUGAAUCAAAACCCACUUUUCCCAUAAUUAUAUACUCAAUUUAUAUAUUAGCCAUUGUUUGAUAAAAUCUAAAAUUAUUUUUAUGAAACCAAGGUUUGGUUCAUUGCGAUUUUGAUGAUAACAAAACAAGGUUUAGAACUAAUGAUUUUAUUUCAAGUGUGAUUAGGCAAGAUGAUUUCCAAAGUGGUAAUCACAAAGACAAAUCAAGUCAAGGAGAAAUUACGAAGAAGAAGACCACCUCAAAGAGAAGUGUUUUUCAAGACCUAAGUUUCAUAAGAUCUCUUUAUAAAGUUGUUGGUGUACUAGGAUUUUCAUACAUUACAUUCUUUACUUAUAUUCCAAAAUUAUCCAAGAGUUAUUUUGUUUUAAAUAUUUUAAAAUUGGAUGAUUUCAUGUUUUCAACUCAAACCUUGUGUCAAAAUGUUUUUCAAACUUGUUUAAAAGGUUUUAAAUUGAAAAAGUUGGUUGUUAAGCCAAAAACAGCUCAAUCGGAUGAGAAACCGAUCAACCGCCAGCUCAACCGGUUUAGGAGCAGGUCGACCUCCAGUUCAAUCAGUCAAGGGUGUGAACAGUAAUUGGUCGAUCGCCAGCUCAAUAGGUCGAUGGGUGCAAAAAACUUUAUCUCUCUUCCAAAAUGGUUGUUCAACUGGAUGAGGAACCAGUCGACCCAUACCUCAACCGGUCGAGGACCAAUUGAAGUCCAAUGGUCACCUACCAAGCAUUAAAUGCUAAUAACUAGUCAACCGGUCGACCCCCAACUCGACUGAUCGAACCCCCAAUGGCUAGUUUGAUUUUUUUUCCUCUAUAAAAAGGCUUCAAAUCUUCAUUGUUCAUGAGUUCAACUUUCCCAAACCUUUCUUGAAUAUAUUUGAGUCUUGGAAGAGUGUUUUGAGUGCACCAUUGUUCUAAAACUUGCAUAUCUUUAGUGCACCAUUCAAUCCUAGUUUUCUUAUAUCAUUUGAGCUUAAAGUUUUUGUACUAGGAUUUUGUAAGAUCAAUUAUUUAUAUAUCUUUGAGAGGAAGAUUCUCAAGUGUAGGGUAUCACUUGAGAGGUUGUUUAAGAGUGGGGUAUCUCUUGAGGAUUAUAAAGGGUGCUUAGAACCAAAAGUCCAAAAUAGUGAAUUGAAACCAUAAUCCAAUUGUAUCGCUUAAAGGCUUGGUUUGGAAGCCUUGAAUUAGUGGAACCUCAAGCUUGGGAUUGAAGCUAGAGAAAAAUGGAUGUAGGCUAGGUUGCACCAAACCACGAUAAAAUCUUGUGUUUGCAUUUUCUCUUCCCUACUUUUUUACUUUAUAUGCAAUUAUAUUUAUAUUGUUUUAUUAUAUACUUGCAUAUAUUUGUCUCUUACAUUCUUAAAAAACAUAAAUCUAUUUUUAAAAACUAUUACCAAGCAAGCUCUUAAUUCAUAUUUUCCACAUUUUAGGGUAAUUAAUUCACUUUCAUUCUCAUUUCUAUCAUAUUCAAAUUCUCUCAUUCCACACUCCAGAGCUUUUUCCAUAAAAGAAGAAUGGUCGUGGGUUUCUCAUUUUUUUUUUUGUAUGAAAUGUAAGAUAUUUCACUUUCAUUUCCAUUUCUAUUACAGUCAAAUUCUCCCAUUCGACACUCCAUAGCUUUUUCCAUGAAAGAAGAACCGUUGUGGCAAGGUUUCUCAUUUCCUUGUAUGAAAAGUAAGAUGAUUUCACUUUCAUUCUUAUUUAUAUCAUAUUCAAAUUCUCUCAUUCCAGACUCUAGAGUUUUUUCCAUGAAAGAAUAAUGGUCGUAAUCAGAUAUUAAAAUAUCGUGUUUCAGUGGACCACGCAGUAGCUCAGCCAACCACUGGAGUAAGCUUACCCCUUGUUAUAUAUACUGUAUCAAAUAUAUAUGGACUAAAACUCAUCAUAUAAACACAAUAUUAAAAUAAUAUUUUAAUGAACAAAUUAAUUAUAAUUAUUUUAUAAUUAAAUGAAAAAAAUCAUUUAAUUGAUUGCCAAAAAUAUAAAAUUAUCAUGAUAAUUUUCUUCAUAGUGUUUUUAAUAUCAUUAAUAUAUUAAUUAAAUAUUAAUAUAUAUCAUUUAUUUUACUCAAUUGUUAUUCACAACACUAUUUUUACUAAUGCAACAUUUUACAUUCCUAAAUUACCCUCCCUUAUUCCUUCCCCCUCUCUCUCCUCUCCCCUCUCUCUUCCCCAACCUCGCAUCCCAAUUGCACCCCUUUUUGAAUUUUUUUUCCCAAUCCCCACCCCACAUUUUAGCAUUUUUUUUCUUUUAUUUUUAUCUUCCUUUUCAUCUCUACAAACCCAACCCCCCAACCCACGUAAACUUCUUUUUUUUCUUUUCAUUUCUUUUAUUUUUUCACACUCAAUUAUUUUUCAUAUUCUUCUUAUAUUUUAAAACAAAAUAAUUUCUUUAAAUAAUAAAUUAUAAAAUGAUUUUAUUAUAUUCAAUGUUUUUUUAAAUUUGCAAAAAUAGACCAUCACCUUAUUCGCCCUCUUCUAGGGUGAUUACCAUAGGUUGGAUUAACCUAAUAUUUUUAAUAAUUUUUAAAAUAUCAAAAUCAAGCCCUAGAUAACUCACCAUUAAAAAAAAUAUUUAAUAAGUUAUAGAAAGUUCCUUUUAAUAUAUUUUUAUGGUAUAUGGUAGAAUUUAAAUAAAAUUAAUUCCAAAUUUUAAAAAAAAAAAAAAAAAUCAUUUAUAAAAGUUAUUAACCAUUAAUAAUUGAUAGUGGUUGGAUUAUACCAAAAAAAAAAAGGUUGUAUUUGUCUUGUCAUUGAUAUUCAUAAUUGAUAAUAUCAUAUAUUAAAAAUUAUUAACCAUUAAUAAUAAAUCAACACUGAUUAUUAAUUAUUUAGACCAUUUUUAUGAAAAAAAAAAUAGUGAAACUUUUAAAUUAAUACACCAAAAAUAGUUUUAGAAGCAUAUAGAGAAGAUUGAGAAUAAAAUUUGAGUUUUGUUGUGUUGUUGUUUUAGUGUUUUAAGUUUUAAAACUUGAGUCAAGUGAUUGUUAUUUGCUUUGUUUGGUUGUUGAGAAAAAUAGAAGAUUGAGAAUGAAACUUGAGUUUCAUGGUUAUUGCUUUGGUGUUUGAAGUUUUGAAACUCGAGAGUUGAAUGGCUGUGCUAGUAUAUAUCCUUUUUUGUAUGGAUUAUAACCAAAGCAUGGUGAACACACUUGUGCACACAUCCAAGAAUAUAUAUAUAUAUAUAUAUAUAUAUAUAUAUAUAUAUAUAUAUAUAUAUAUAUAUAUAUAUAUAUCAAAUUUGAACAACUGAAUAAUGAAAUUGUAUUGACCAUACAAAGAUAAUGAACAAACUAUGUAAAGGGUAUACAAGGCAAAUCAUGGAUUUUGAACAACUAUGCAAGACCGUUACAUUGACUAUAUAGGAUCAAUGAACUAACUAUAUAAAAAGUAUACAAAAUAGGACAUGAAUUUUGAACAACCAUACAACACAAUUGCAUUCACUUUAUAAGGCCAAUGAACUAAUUAUAAAAGCAAUGUAUUGUUUACAACUUAUUUUUAUCCCUCCUCGAAAUACCUCAAAGGUUUAUGACAAUAAAAAGAAAAAAAAAGUGUUAUUUUUCUUUUUCAAAUUUUAAAAAAUCAAAUAAAUAUAAAAAUAGAUUUUUAUUUUUUAAAGAUAAAAUUAAAAAGGGAAGAAAAAUAUGAUAAAUUUAAUUUUUUACCUUCCAAUUAAUUUGUAAAUAUUUUUAAAAAAAAAGGGAAAAUUCNNNNNNNNNNNNNNNNNNNNNNNNNNNNNNNNNNNNNNNNNNNNNNNNNNNNNNNNNNNNNNNNNNNNNNNNNNNNNNNNNNNNNNNNNNNNNNNNNNNNCCUCUACUCUCCUCUCCCCUCUCUCUUCCCCAACCUCGCAUCCCAAUUGCACCCCUUUUUGAAUUUUUUUUCCCAAUCCCCACCCCACAUUUAAGCAUUUUUUUUCUUUUAUUUUUAUCUUCCUUUUCAUCUCUACAAACCCAACCCCCCAACCCACGUAAACUUCUUUUUUUUCUUUUCAUUUCUUUUAUUUUUUCACACUCAAUUAUUUUUCAUAUUCUUCUUAUAUUUUAAAACAAAAUAAUUUCUUUAAAUAAUAAAUUAUAAAAUGAUUUUAUUAUAUUCAAUGUUUUUUUAAAUUUGCAAAAAUAGACCAUCACCUUAUUCGCCCUCUUCUAGGGUGAUUACCAUAGGUUGGAUUAACCUAAUAUUUUUAAUAAUUUUUAAAAUAUCAAAAUCAAGCCCUAGAUAACUCACCAUUAAAAAAAAUAUUUAAUAAGUUAUAGAAAGUUCCUUUUAAUAUAUUUUUAUGGUAUAUGGUAGAAUUUAAAUAAAAUUAAUUCCAAAUUUUUUAAAAAUAAAAAAAAAAUCAUUUAUAAAAGUUAUUAACCAUUAAUAAUUGAUAGUGGUUGUAUUAUACCAAAAAAAAAAAGGUUGUAUUUGUCUUGUCAUUGAUAUUCAUAAUUGAUAAUAUCAUAUAUUAAAAAUUAUUAACCAUUAAUAAUAAAUCAACACUGAUUAUUAAUUAUUUAGACCAUUUUUAUGAAAAAAAAAUAGUGAAACUUUUAAAUUAAUACACCAAAAAUAGUUUUAGAAGCAUAUAGAGAAGAUUGAGAAUAAAAUUUGAGUUUUGUUGUGUUGUUGUUUUAGUGUUUUAAGUUUUAAAACUUGAGUCAAGUGAUUGUUAUUUGCUUUGUUUGGUUGUUGAGAAAAAUAGAAGAUUGAGAAUGAAACUUGAGUUUCAUGGUUAUUGCUUUGGUGUUUGAAGUUUUGAAACUCGAGAGUUGAAUGGCUGUGCUAGUAUAUAUCCUUUUUUGUAUGGAUUAUAACCAAAGCAUGGUGAACACACUUGUGCACACAUCCAAGAAUAUAUAUAUAUAUAUAUAUAUAUAUCAAAUUUGAACAACUGAAUAAUGAAAUUGUAUUGACCAUACAAAGAUAAUGAACAAACUAUGUAAAGGGUAUACAAGGCAAAUCAUGGAUUUUGAACAACUAUGCAAGACCGUUACAUUGACUAUAUAGGAUCAAUGAACUAACUAUAUAAAAAGUAUACAAAAUAGGACAUGAAUUUUGAACAACCAUACAACACAAUUGCAUUCACUUUAUAAGGCCAAUGAACUAAUUAUAAAAGCAAUGUAUUGUUUACAACUUAUUUUUAUCCCUCCUCGAAAUACCUCAAAGGUUUAUGACAAUAAAAAGAAAAAAAAAGUGUUAAUUUUCUUUUUCAAAUUUUAAAAAAUCAAAUAAAUAUAAAAAUAGAUUUUUAUUUUUUAAAGAUAAAAUUAAAAAUGGAAGAAAAAUAUGAUAAAUUUAAUUUUUUACCUUCAAAUUAAUUUGUAAAUAUUUUUAAAAUAAAUAGGAAAAUUCAAAUAUUGCAAUUGAUUUUUAAGAUAAAAUUUGAAAACAAAAAAUAACAAUAACUUUCAUAUAACAUAUAAAAACUUUUAGAUACUUAAACCAAAAAGAUAAUGGUAAUAAAAAAAAAGUUAAAAAAAAAGUGAGGUUUUAAAAUUUAAUCCCAUCUCAAAUUCAAAAAUUUUUAAGGAUAUAAAACAAGCCUAUAUUUUUUAUAUGAAAAUUUUCAUUUUUUUAAGUUAUAAAAAUUAUUCUCAAUUUCUCCUUUUAAAAAUAAUGAACAAGAAAUGUAUUUAAAAAAAACCUUAUAUUGAAAACUUUUUAAAUGCCUAAUAAUUAAAAAAAAAAAAUUCUAAAUUUAAAAAUAAUAAUUUAAGUUUUAAAAUUAUAAAUCGUAUAUGGAACUUCUUCCCAUUAAAUAAUUGCUUACUUAAUUAUCCCCACAUGUGAUUUUCUAAAAACCCAAUUAAGGGUAUUUUGGGCAUUUUUGGCUCACAAAAUAUUGGUACGUCCUUCAUAGUAAUUUGGAGACCUGCUCUACCCCAUCACAACAAUUAUACAAAUUCAUGGUCUUUAGGGUCAUUAUCACCUUCAAGGCUUCAAUCACCCUUCGAUCAUAGCCGGCUGUAGGUGCAAUUUGGUCUCUUCUCAAUUUAUUAAUCACACAGGACAAAGUCCAAAAUCAAAUAUAUUCUAAAAAAUAGGUAGAUUCUUGGCAUGUGUAUCAGGAAUUUUACUUUUCAUAUGGAAAAUUGUGAUUUAUGGAAUGCGUGAUGGACUUUAAAUCCUAAAAAUAAUAAUAAAUAAAUAAUGAAAAAUAAGGCAAUUGUCUGCCUAAUUAUUGAAUGAUAAAAAUAAAAUAUUUUGUCACAUCUAUGGAAAGUUGACUUUGACAAUUACACGAUAGAAUAGGUCAAGCCCACUAGAUUUUCAGGAAAGUAGUAAGUAAAAAAUAAAAUAAAAUAAAUGAUAUUUUAGUAUUUUAUUGAGCAUAUAAAAUAUAAAAUAAAUUCAAAUAUAAUUAAAAUUAAAUUUAUGUAUUUUAAAUUUAUUUAAUUUUUAUAUAGAAGAGUUAAAAUAAAUUAAAUAAAAUUUAAAAAUAUAUAAAAAUAAUUUAUUAAGUUUAAAUUAUUUUUAUUUUUCUUUGCUUUCUUUGACUUCUGUUUUUACUCAUUAUUUUAUUACCAUAAUUUCCUCAAAAUUUUCAAAAUCCAAAUGCUUAUUGAAAUUUAUUAGUACAAACUUUGAAAUUUUGGCUUAUUUAAAUUUGAGUGCAGAAGAGGUCAGUAAUGUAGGGACCCCCCAGGACAUGUGGCACGCACCUCUAUUCGGGUCCCCCAAGGGGGGUAUACGACACUCUCAAAUAUCAUAUCCGGGCGAUGCUUUAUCCUAUCUGGACCUAUUGUCCGGAUCAUUGACUGUAACGAGCAAGUCUUGCUGAGUCAUCCCCGACAGUCUGCCACAACCCACGUUCCGUCGCCUGCAGAGCGAAAGAACAAGAGCGAUGACAAGUCACCUCCCACGAUCUUUGAUGAUGACCCUGCCACCACCUUGAAGACAUCAUGACAAGCCAAAAAGUUUUCCCACCAUUAAAGAGGGGAGCAGAGUUUCUGACAUUAUAUAAAAGGGUCUUCACACAAGGAGGAAGGUAAGCCUGAGAUCCUAAAAAAGCCAAUAGUCUGAUCUCUUAAGCCAUGACUAACAAAACCAUCGGAGGGUGUGUCCGGACAUCUUUUGCAGGAUCGACUGAGCCAGAACUCCUUCUUGGUUGAUAGCACGCGUCCACUUGGCAGCAGCAGGGAUCCCUGGGACACGAGGCAUCAACAAGUAAUGGCUCCUAAUACAUGGAAUAUGCAUAUCCCACCAUUUUUUAUCCUUCAAAUUCUUAUAUUAACACUUUCACGGUUCUUAAUUUUUAGCUUUUCUAUGUCUUAUAUGGGUAUAUUAGGCUAUGUAGUUUAAGAUCGACAAUUUUGUUCUAUUCAUUUUAGCUUAAAAGUGUCCAAUAAUAUGCUCUAUAUUAAACCUCUCUCAUGUUAGUAGCUUCAACAACAGUGAGUCAAGUCCGGGGGACAUGAUAGACAAACCCAUAUGACUAGUUCACAUUAUCAGGUCCUCUUGUACUAUAAUUAUGAAUGAAAAAAUAGACGUUUCUAGAAAUUCAUGGGGCUUAGUUCACUGGAAGUUCUUAUUUUUCUUGAGUCCAGAUAAAGAAAGAUUUGAUAUCUAGAAAUUCAAAAUCUUCUUGUCUUCACGCUUUCUGAUCAAAGCAAGUACUAAUAAAGAAAACAAUCAGAGCAUGACAGAUGUUGAACUUAAUAUUGUCUAGAUUCACCGAGUCGAUGAGGUUUUGAGCUUGAAAGAGUGAGUUCAAAUCCACAUGUCUGGAAAUUUGGAAGGCAGUGAUUCUACAAUUCAAAGUCCUAUAUCCACAUGUCUGAAUCUGAUCAGCAGGAUACCAAUGAAUGAGCACCAAGUUUAAGUAACUACUUUUCUUCAUGGGUCAAGCAUGGAACUUAGAAAUACCUCUGAACUUUCUGAAGAAGGCCAAAACUUCCCUUUUUGCUAGCUCAAGUCUAAAUUUAAGAGUGUUGCAAACCCUGCUCCUGAUACACGCUUGUUGGUUUUGAAAACAUACUAUUUUCAUGUUGUUACCGUGUCUUAAUGUCUUCAGCCACUUAAAGCAGAGACUGAAAGUGGAGCACCAUACUAGUAAGCAGGCAAUCAAGAUGAAAGAAUUGCUUAAGGUUACAUUAUUGUCAUGAAUUUAAGUUACAUAAAAUUGGGAGAAAACAAAAUACAAGAAUUUAACUAGUAUUAUCUGCUCAUUGCAGAGCUUUGGAUACUCUCUAACAGCCUAUACAUAGAACAAAACCAUUUUGUUCAUCUUACAACCAAAUGUUGAACUGAGAAUGUUACAUAUACAUUAACCAACCAUCUUUGAAGAACUCGUGCUUUUACCGCCUUUGGAAGUUAAAUGCCUUAAUGGCAAAGGCAAAGAUAAAUAAGAAAAGUACUGUAAACCCAACAAUCACAGCUGCAACCACUCCUAGAAAAUCAUGUUCGAAUCCAAAAUAGUCAUUCAAGUAUUGUUCCACUGUGUCACCUGUGUCCUCAAAUCUGUCCUGUAUAUCUCCAAACUGUGAUGUAACCAAUCCAUACAAAGUCCAUGCAACUGGACAUGCCCAAUAGUACCAUCUCCACCACACAGGAAUCCUCUGUAUUCAUCAUGGAAGAAAUGCAACAAAAUGAGUCAUUUCCAUAUCCAUGUGCUAAAGAUAGUUGCAAUUUAGAGAAUAAUGAGUUGAGAGAACUUACUGUUCGAGGAACUAUAAAACCUGAAAAUAGGUUCCAUAAUCCAUAAAAUGCUGCAGCAACGAUGGCAGCAAUAUGUUGAUUUGGUGUGGCAGCCACAGCCAUCAUGCCAUAAAAGGUGAAGUACAGUAAGGUGAAGAACAUGAAGAACAGAUACCAGAAGAACUUAGCAGCUGUCCAUUCAAAUCCAAUCAUUGCAUAAACUAUAACACCAUACACCACAGCUUGUGCAAAGACAUAUGGUAUCUCAACUAGAGCCUGAAACAAGAGAUGAAAUUUGAUUAAUAAAACCCAUAAAGUGUUAGAGAUAGACAGUCCAUAGCAUAAGAAAACUAGUUACCUGUGCAAAGGCAUAUGGCAUAGCUGAAUACAUUCCUGCAGCUCUUUCUCUGUAAAAGACUGUCCGUUCAACUGCAACGACUGGCUGCACCGAUGAGGAAUUUUGAACCCCAAGGAAGAGAACAGCAGCAUACAUAGAACCCAUUGCAUUACUCAAAUCUUGUUGUUUUUUCCUGAAUUUUACCAUGUGAAGUAUGAAUUAAAGUUGAUACAGAGAAACAUACUGAGUUCUCAAAAUCCUGUACUGGGUUCAAAUUACCUUUUGGUGCCGAGAUCCCAGAACAUUGUCCCAAAUAUCAAGGCUAUGAAAGUUGUGAAGAAAAAUCUCACUGCCGUGUAUGGUGGAUUGCGCCAAUAUGACCUACGCUGUUUCCAUAAGCAUGCCAUACAUUGGGUGAAGAAGGACUGGGAGUAUUGAGUAGGGAAAUAGAGGUCCUUUGAACCAGGGGCAGGUUGGCUCAAUUCUUUAAUUAAAUCUUUGUUUCUCCUGAAACAUAUGCCACAUCAGAAAAGGCUUCAAUAACCAAUUCAAGCUUGCAUGAUGAACAUUGAGAUGUGUAUACAUGACAUUUCAAUAUCAUAAUGCUUUCAGAUAACCUAUAGUUGAAUCACCUGUAUAGGUCCGAAUUUUUGUAUAUUUCAGUGAAAUCCACCCCCAACAAGAAUUCUUGUGCCGAAGAGGUAACUUCCAGCAUCCAAGUUGCAGGGUUAUAACCAUCUUUGAUUUUACUCACUCCUUCAAUUCCCUUAAUGAUAGCAAGUCACAUGUAUUAGUAAGCACUUGAUAUGAAUUAACUCAAACUAAAUUAUUUGCUGCUUAUAGCUUUUACUUUAUCAUGGCAGCUUACCUGAAAAUACUUUAUCAGAUGAGAAGAAUGUCUACCCAGUGGUCCCACAUAUAUCUCUUGUCCUCCUCGCUUCAACAGGAGCAACUGCAAAUCCAUUUUAAAUAUUUCAGUACUUAUAUGCAAAGCUCAUAGAAGGGAAACUAUAAAUUCUUUCUAUCCAUUAACAUUUCCCACCUCAUCAAAGGCUUCAAAGAUGUCAAUACUUGGCUGAUGGAUGGUGCACACAACUGUUCUUCCUGUGUCCACUGUGUUCCUGACUGUUCUCAUAACAAUUGCAGCAGCUCUUGCAUCUAGCCCUGAAGUUGGCUCAUCCAUGAAUAUUAUUGAGGGAUUUGCCACAAGCUCAACUGCAAUGGUCAGCCUCUUGCGCUGCUCUGUUGAGAGACCAUUUACACCUGGCAACCCAACUAGUGAAUCCUUCAAUGGGGUCAGUUCCACGAGCUCCAUGACUUCCUCAAUGAACAUCUGUAACCAUUAGCAAGGAUUAGAAAUUGUUUAAAAAAACAAUGCAAAGCCAUAGCAGAGAUGGUAAAAAAAUUGACACUGCUUGUGACUCUUUUCAGUUAGCAGGUUGUGAACAAGUUUCUCUAGUCUUAUUAAACAGAUCAGUUCAUGGUUGCCAAUGCUCAAUAACACCUAUUAGCAUGCAUGAACUUCACCAACUUGUAUUCCAGGUCAACCAAAUUUGAACCAGCACCUUUCCCCAGGGUGAAGGUCAAGCCAAAUUUGAACCUGAUCUAAGCUCAACCAAGUUUGAAAAAUCAAUUCUAGGGCUUUACUUGUUCAGAGCACUCAAUUGAAUAAGACAAAUGUGGAAAGAACUCAGGAAGCCCUCACCUUUCUAGUUUUAGAAUCCACAUCAGCAGGCAACCUCAGCCAAGCAGAGUAGAGCAAGGACUCAUGGAUAGUAACAUGAGGAGAGUGGAUGUCAUUCUGCUCACAGUAUCCAGAAAUUCGAGCAAAAGUCUCUUGCUUCUUUGGGUAGCCAGAAAUGUUGAUGUUACCCUCAAUAUAUCCACCAGUUUUCCGACCAGCCAGUACAUCCAUGAGAGUGGUUUUACCAGCACCGCUAACACCCAUCAGAGCUGUAAGAACACCAGGCCUGAAAGCACCACUCACCCCCUUUAGAAGCUCCAAUCUGUCUUCAAGGACACCCUGACUUUUCAUUUCCUACAAAUUCAAUUCAAACAACUUAGUUCUCAUUUUUGGUUUAUUAGUGCUGCUAAAGCAUGUACAUUAUUUGCAUUAACAUGGAGUUACCUCUGGCAUGUCAACUGAGUAUCUAAUAUCAUCAAAGGUGAUAGAAAGUGGUUGGAAUGGAAGAACCAUUCCUUUUUUGUUGUUACGUCUAGCCUCAGCAAUGGCUUCUGCCCUCACAGAUGAGGAUGUGGAUGAGAUGCUUCUCCCAAUUUCGUCUCUCCUCUCUGCAUGUUAAGUUUAAAAUUAGUGAGCCAUGUAAAACAUGUGGUUAAAUGACAAGAACAAAGGCACACAUGCACCAUGAAUGAGUUUCAUCACCUGUGGAUGCAGUUUGGUCAAUCGAGCCUCGUCUAUGGGAUGAUAACUCGAUCUUCCCUCCAGUUUUGGAAUUCUCAGACUCUUCUGUUAUAACAGCUUGAGGCUUCUCAAAUGCUGCACAAUUUGCACAAAUCUUAGUACACUAAUCUCCAAUAUUUUAGGAUUUUCAACACAGAGAAUGUAAGGAUACCCACCAUUUAGGUAAGUGAGAGCCACAGUGUAACAGAAGUUGAAGACUAAAAUGAAUCCAAGCAGUGCCCCAGCUCCUAUCCAGUACCAGUAUGCCUCUGUGAAGAACCCGCGAGACUUCAAUACUGCUACUCCAAGGGAUUCUGUUGAAUCGGUUGAAGAAUUCUGAAAAAUGGAAAUACAUUCAAUCAUCAGUUACUGACACAAAUAAACACAAAUAUUCACAUGAAACAUUCAUAAACUUACUUUGCUCCAACUCUUCCCAAGGAAUUCAUUUACCACUAUUGCGUUCUGUGCAUACAUCAGAGGGGAAGACCAGUAACCCCAAAUCCACCAUUUCUUGACAUUUUCUACAGCAAUGACCAAAUACAAGAAGGAAACAAAAAUUCAUUAUUAGGGUUUAUGAACAAGAAGGUCCUAGUUUCCUAAAAAAAAUCUUUCCUCCUUAUACCUCGUGACAGGACAAAACCACCCAAUGCAAAGAGCAAAAGUAAUGAAAAUGACCCAAAUGUGUUUGCAACAAUCAUGUUUCUACCAGCUGCUGCAAUAAAUCGAAACAAUGCAGAUGCCAUCUGAUUAACAAGCACGAGGAGAAGAUAUUGUUUAAACAACCUGCAAUAAGAAGAUUUGUUUAUUAGCAUUGAUCAUUUUGGAACAAAGAAAACAUUUGAAACAAAUCUGGACAUGUUUCUUUUACCUUCCCACAUUUGGAUCAAAUCCAAUGACAUAAUAAGACAUGAACACCCAAACAGCAACUUCAACAAAUGUGAUGGGGAUCUUGAGGAUCCAUGAGGGGAGUGCAUACGCCCAUGCAGGGUAGAAUAGUAGGCCUCUUUGCUUGUAAAAGACAGGAAGUUUUGCAAUGGUCAUGGCAAGUUCUGACAUUCCAUUAAACAUGAUCAUGACAACAGUGAAGAACAAAGCACCCGUGUAAAUGCUUCCAUCAUCUGUUGAAUUUUUGUGCAUCUCAGUUCUUAGGAAGAUUGUCAUGGAAAUUGCUGCCAUUAUUAUGAGCUAAAAGAAGAAACAAAAAUAAUAAAUUACGAUCAAAUGUACAAAAUUGAAAGCCAUUGUUAUAAGUAACAACAAUAAUAAUACUCACUUGGGUGAGCUUGAAAAUAUAGACAAAUGAAUUCCUCUUCAUCAGCAAGUACUCUCUUGAGAUGCAAGCAUCCAACAGUUCCUUCUUUCUAACACCAUAUUUUUCAGUUUUCAAAGCAGCUGGGUGGCUUUUGGUCUUGUCGAAUGGAGUUGCAAGCUCAUGUCCUAGUUUCCGUCCAAUGUGAAAUGACUGGAAUGCCUCGGCAAAUUCCUUGACUGUGACAAAACUGUAAGGCUCAUCUUUACGUGCCCAAUACUGCUGCUGAUCUUUCCUAGAUGUUACCUGUAAUGAAUUUUAAAAUUCAUGUUCUAGCUUGAUUUUUUCUAAAGAAGGAAAAAAAAAUUGAGAAGAUGCCUAAAGGUACAAAACUAUUAGCACUCACUUCUUGUAGGAAGUCUGCCACACCCUUCCUUUCAGGACAUCUGAAGCCCAUGGAUUCAAAAAAGUCAAGAACGUCUUCACGAGGACCCUGAUAAACAAUCUGGCUAUCAGAGAGGAGAAUGAUGUCAUCAAAAAGAUCGUAAGUCUCAGGUGCUGGCUGGAGGAGAGAGAUGAGAGCAGUCCCAUUGAGAAUGUGGAUGGUUUGCCUGAGAGAAUUCACGAUUUGAUAAGUUGUCGAGCUAUCCAACCCAGUAGAGAUCUCAUCCAUGAACAGUGCCUUCGAUGGUCCAACCAGCAUCUCCCCUGUCAUUCAUAUAUUUCACAGUUGAAUUAACUUAAAUUAAUGAACGAAAAAAUCUAAUUUAUUUUAUUUGGUUGGAAACCAAAUUAUCCUACCAGUUGUGACACGCUUCCGUUGUCCUCCAGAGAUACCCCUUAUCAUUUGAUCUCCUACCAAGGUGUCUGCACAGACUUCUAGUCCCAGAAUCUGUAAAUUUAAGUGUAAAUGAAAAUAAACAAAUUAUGACUUAGAAUUGGGUUUUCUCAGAAAUCUGCAUUCCAUCAUUGAAAGUUCUAUGGUUAUGAUACCUUCAGUGUAUAGUCAGUGAUUACAUUCUCCUUCUGGCCUUCCGUUGCCACUGCCUGAAAUAUUAAAAACCAAUAAUGUAAAUCUCACUCACCAUCAAACCAAUAAGUACCUUAAGAAAUUCCAAGGAUAAGAGAUUUUGCUCUGCAGAACUGGUUAAAAUUUCACUCAAAGUAGCUUCUGUCUCACCUUCAUGAAGACAUCGAUAUCAGGAUCAGGCUUAAUAUUUGCUGCCUUCUCUCUUCUUGAGAGCUCUGCUAACAUGUCUGCGAAUAGCCAAAUAAAAGUCAACCUCCUGGCUUAUGCAAAUUUCAUAUAACUAAAUUCACAAGCUUCAAAAACAAAGAAAAUAAAAGUAAAAGGCAAUGAAUGGUUUAGACCAACCAUAUCGAUCUCCAACACCCUGGCAUCUUGCAGAGAAGGCCAAGGUUUCCCGUACAGUCAUUUCUCCUAUAUGGGUAUCAUGUUGGCUGAUGUAGGUUGCAGUUCUCUGGGGUACAAAUUCAUUCAUGCCAUGACCAUUGUAUGUCACCUUUCCCGUAACCUAAAAGCAGGAAUUUCAGUUUCCAAAUUGGAUAUGAGAUUAAACAGCUAAAAAUUGAAUAUUCAUUAAAGAACAAAAGCAAUAAUUUUUUUUUCAUUCAACCUUUAGACUGGAAUCAAGCUUUCCGGACAAAGCCAAUAAGAGAGUGGUCUUUCCAGAACUUGGAGGACCCAAAAGCAAUGUCAUUCUGCAGAAAAAAAAUAUGCACAAAAGAUUGAGUAUGGAUCUUCAGGAUAUUCUAAAUUGGAGAAAGUAAAAAAAUCCAUUUGAUAGAUAUAUAUAUAUAUAUAUAUAUAUAUAUAUAUAUCUCAAUUAAUUUUUUUACAGAAAAAAAAAGAAAAAAAAUCAUAUUCUCACCUUCGAGGUUUGAUGAUUCCACUAACAUCGUGAAGAAUAGUGAGUUUCUUCUUUCUACUCGGAAGAAUCCGAAGAGUGUUCAAGAUAUCCUUUAAAACAGAAAGAAAAAUUAUAAUCUAAAAACAAACUUUCCCAAGAGAGUAUUUAUUGCUUAGCUAGUGAUCUGUAUUUGCAUUUUAGUUACCUCAAUUUGAUUAAAAGCAGAAUAAAUGAAUGAAGGCAAAGCUCUGCUUCCUACAUGAGCUUCUGCAUCAAUGGUAAGAUGCUCAAAUCUAACUUCAAUUUCGGGAAGAUCAAUCCCAACUCUGAAAAAUGAAAUAGACAUGCAAACCCAUUACUAAAAAGUCAAAGGAAGAUGUUUGGUUGUGAAGAAAAUGCAGGACUAUCAGUCACAUUUAAGGUGGAUUCUUUCUUUUCCACUGUUUUCAAUGUUAAAAAAGAAAAAGAAAAACGGCAAGAAAGGCAAGAGAAGAGGAGAAAUCGCACCUAUCUAUGCGAUUCCUGAGCUUCAACAAGAACUUCUCAUUGUCCUCUUCGGCAAUUUUCACCAACCGCUCCACUAAAUUCUUCUUUUCCUGAAACCCAAGGUUGUGUAUAUCAACUUCACUGGCCUCACCCGCCGAACCCAUCAGCAAGCCUUUCCUCAUCCGAUUGUAGGUGGGAAGUUUCUCGAGGGCGGCCCAUUUCAAAGCUUCCUCAUCAUCUUCAUCCCUCGAAGAACGGGAGAAAACCUCCUCACCAGAGUUCCUCCAUAUGGAAGAACUGUCCUUCCUUAAACUACCACCGGCUCUAUAAAUUUCACCUG